CACGUAGGGCGCAAGCGUUGUCCGGAAUUAUUGGGCGUAAAGAGCUCGUAGGCGGUCUGUUGCGUCCGCUGUGAAAACCCGGGGCUUAACCCUGGGCUGGCAGUGGAUACGGACAGACUAGAGGUAGGUAGGGGAGAAUGGAAUUCCCGGUGUAGCGGUGAAAUGUGCAGAUAUCGGGAGGAACACCGGUGGCGAAGGCGGUUCUCUGGGCCUUACCUGACGCUGAGGAGCGAAAGCGUGGGGAGCGAACAGG
rnacentral:rRNA from 1 species